rnacentral:rRNA from 1 species
UCAGACGAUGCGUCAUGCAUAUCAAUAAGCGGAGGAAAAGAAACUAACAAGGAUUCCCUUAGUAACGGCGAAGUGAAGCGGGAAGAGCUCAAAUUUGAAAUCUUCAAGGUUUUACCUUGACGAAUUGUAGUUUAAAGAAGUGUUUUCUGUUGAAGUUUUGGUAAAAGUUCUUUGGAAUAGGACAUCAUAGAGGGUGAGAAUCCCGUAUUUGACCAUUAUUUUCAGCUGUGUGAUACACUUUCAAAGAGUCGGAUUGUUUGGGAAUGCAGUCCAAAAUGGGUGGUAAAUUUCAUCUAAAGCUAAAUAUUGGCGAGAGACCGAUAGCGAACAAGUACCGUGAGGGAAAGAUGAAAAGAACUUUGAAAAGAGAGUUAAACAGUACGUGAAAUUGUCAAAAGGGAAGCGUUUGACACCAGUGUUGUUUUCUCGAAAAUCAAUUAAAAAGAGUUAGAUUUUGUUGUGUAUUGACCUUAACAGCUUGCAUUUCAAUUUUCUUGCUUUUUUUAAUGCACUUUUCGUUUAACAAGUCAACAUCAGUUUCUUUUGUUGUAAAAAGGUCAUUGGAAGGUGGCUUUCUUUUCGGAGAAAGUGUUUAUAGCCUUUGACUCCUGCAAUCGGAGAGACUGAGGUCUGCAGCGUAGAUCCUUCGGGGUUAGAUACAUUUGUGCUAAGUUAUAGCUUUUUAUAGACAACUUGUUGACUAUAAUUAGUCUUGUAGCUUACUCGCUUAUGCUAGUUUUACCUACGCUUAGGAUGUUGAGUCGUAGAGCACGCAG